AGCGAACGCUGGCGGCAGGCUUAACACAUGCAAGUCGAACGCCCCGCAAGGGGAGUGGCAGACGGGUGAGUAACACGUGGGAACGUGCCCUUCGCUUCGGGAUAGCCUCGGGAAACUGGGAAUAAUACCGAAUACGCCGUAUUGGGAAAGAUUUAUCGGCGAAGGAUCGGCCCGCGUUGGAUUAGCUAGUUGGCGGUGUAAUGGACCACCAAGGCUACGAUCCAUAGCUGGUCUGAGAGGACGACCAGCCACACUGGGACUGAGACACGGCCCAGACUCCUACGGGAGGCAGCAGUGGGAAUCUUGGACAAUGGGCGCAAGCCUGAUCCAGCCAUGCCGCGUGAGUGAAGAAGGCCUUAGGGUUAGUAAAACUCUUUCGCCGGUGAAGAUAAUGACGGUAACCGGAGAAGAA
rnacentral:rRNA from 1 species